CGGCAGGAAAUUGGAUCGAGAAGUCAUUUAGGAUAUGAGAGCGGUCAACUUUGGGGCAUCAGAAGUUUACAUGUCUUGCGGCCAUGGAGGUUGAGACCGACAAUCUCCCCGCGCCGCGGUUCGAAAUCCUAGCCACCUAUGAGCUCGAUUUCUCUUCUUCUCAGCGAUUCCUAGACGUAAGUCCCUUCCAGGCGGGAGAUGGUGGCAUGGAGGACCGCGCUGCCGCUCAUCCUCGUCGCCGCCCUGGUAGCCGUGGAAGACAUGAUCUCGGCGCCUUUGUGCGAGAUCUCCGGCCACGCGGGCGGAGAUUCGAGCCGUCCAGAUGACCUGAAGUCCAUGAUGGUGGCGGAUCUUCUCUUGCUGGGACCGGACGCAGGGUUCGUCGAUCUCUACCUUAGGGAUCUCUUCAGAUCCAAAUUCUAUAAGUGAUGUUGAUAUGCGGCCAUAUGAGUUCAAGCAUACUCUCCCUGUAAAUGCAACAGUAUAUAUCUUCCCGUCUCUUAGCCAAGGAUUGUUCAGUGUUCACACCCACAGAUUUUGUUACCACGCACAU